GGGAUGACACAGUAGGAUAAGCUAAGCACACUGUUGGUUAUGUGUGCCCAAGCAUUGAGGCAGUCAAAGUAGGCAAAUCCGCUUUGAUAAUGCUGGGAUGUGAUGGGGAGCGAAAUUUAGUAGCGAAGUAGCUGAUUUCACACUGUCAAGAAAAGUCUCUAUCGAGGUUAAAGGUACCCGUACCGCAAACCGACACAGGUGGGUGAGGAGAGUAUCCUAAGGCCAGCGAGAGAACUGUUGUUAAGGAACUCGGCAAAAUGACCCCGUAACUUAGGGAUAAGGGGUGCCACCAUCAGGUGGCCGCAGAGAAUAGGCCCAAGCGACUGUUUACCAAAAACAUAGGUUUCUGCUAAGUCGCAAGACGAUGUAUAGGAGCUGACGCCUGCCCGGUGCUGGAAGGUUAAGGGGAUCUGUUAGAGCAAUCGAAGCAGUGAACUUAAGCCCCAGUAAACGGCGGCCGUAACUAUAACGGUCCUAAGGUAGCGAAAUUCCUUGUCGGGUAAGUUCCGACCCGCACGAAAGGCGUAACGAUUUGGGCACUGUCUCAACAACAGACUCGGUGAAAUUGUAAUUCCGGUGAAGAUGCCGGAUACCUGCGACAGGACGGAAAGACCCCAUGGAGCUUUACUGUAGCUUGACAUUGGGUCUUGGUACUACAUGUACAGGAUAGGUGGGAGGCUUUGAAACCAGGACGCCAGUUUUGGCGGAGCCAUCCUUGGGAUACCACCCUUGUAGUACUGGGACUCUAACCAUAGGCCAUGAAUCUGGUCUUGGGACACUGUCAGGUGGGCAGUUUGACUGGGGCGGUCGCCUCCCAAAAGGUAACGGAGGCGCUCAAAGGUUCUCUCAGUACGGUCGGAAAUCGUACGUAGAGUGUAAAGGCAAAAGAGAGCUUGAUUGCAAGACAUACAGGUCGAGCAAGGAUGAAAAUCGGACUUAGUGAUCCGGUGGUUCUGCGUGGAAGGGCCAUCGCUCAACGGAUAAAAGCUACCCUGGGGAUAACAGGCUUAUCUCCCCCAAGAGUCCACAUCGACGGGGAGGUUUGGCACCUCGAUGUCGGCUCAUCACAUCCUGGGGCUGUAGUAGGUCCCAAGGGUUGGGCUGUUCGCCCAUUAAAGUGGUACGCGAGCUGGGUUCAGAACGUCGUGAGACAGUUCGGUCCCUAUCCGUCGCAGGCGUAGGAAAUUUGAGAAGACCUGUCCUUAGUACGAGAGGACCGGGAUGGACGUACCUCUGGUGUACCAGUUGUCCUGCCAAGGGCAUGGCUGGGUAGCUAUGUACGGAAUGGAUAAGCGCUGAAAGCAUCUAAGCGCGAAGCCAACUUCAAGAUAAGAUUUCCCACCGCAAGGGUAAGACCCCAGAAAGACUAUCUGGUUGAUAGGUCGAAGGUGUAAGUGCAGCAAUGUAUUUAGCUUAUCGAUACUAAUAGGUCGAGGACUUGACCAA
rnacentral:rRNA from 1 species